GACGAACGCUGGCGGCGUGCUUAACACACGCAAGUCGAACGCUGAAGCCCUUUCGGGGGUGGAUGAGUGGCGAACGGGUGAGUAACACGUGGGUAAUCUGCCCUGCACUCUGGGAUAAGCCUUGGAAACGGGGUCUAAUACCGGAUAGGACACAUCGCCGCAUGGUGUGUGUGUGGAAAGUUCCGGCGGUGCAGGGUGAGCCCGCGGCCUAUCAGCUUGUUGGUGGGGUGAUGGCCUACCAAGGCGACGACGGGUAGCCGGCCUGAGAGGGUGACCGGCCACACUGGGACUGAGACACGGCCCAGACUCCUACGGGAGGCAGCAGUGGGGAAUCUUGCGCAAUGGGCGAAAGCCUGACGCAGCAACGCCGCGUGGGGGAUGACGGCCUUCGGGUUGUAAACCUCUUUCGACCGGGACGAAGGGUGACUGACGGUACCGGUAGAAGAAGCACCGGCUAACUCUGUGCCAGCCGCCGCAGUAA
rnacentral:rRNA from 1 species